GUGUCAGCCGCCGCGGUAAUACGGAGGGUGCAAGCGUUAAUCGGAAUUACUGGGCGUAAAGCGCGCGUAGGUGGCUUGAUAAGCCGGUUGUGAAAGCCCCGGGCUCAACCUGGGAACGGCAUCCGGAACUGUCAGGCUAGAGUGCAGGAGAGGAAGGUAGAAUUCCCGGUGUAGCGGUGAAAUGCGUAGAGAUCGGGAGGAAUACCAGUGGCGAAGGCGGCCUUCUGGACUGACACUGACGCUGAGGUGCGAAAGCGUGGGUAGCAAACAGGAUUAGAUACCCUGGUAGUCCACGCCGUAAACGAUGUCGACCAGCCGUUGGGUGCCUAGAGCACUUUGUGGCGAAGUUAACGCGAUAAGUCGACCGCCUGGGGAGUACGGCCGCAAGGUUAAAACUCAAAUGAAUUGACGGGGGCCCGCACAAGCGGUGGAGCAUGUGGUUUAAUUCGAUGCAACGCGAAGAACCUUACCUACCCUUGACAUCUACAGAAGCCGGAAGAGAUUCUGGUGUGCCUUCGGGAACUGUAAGACAGGUGCUGCAUGGCUGUCGUCAGCUCGUGUUGUGAAAUGUUGGGUUAAGUCCCGUAACGAGCGCAACCCUUGUCCUUAUUUGCCAGCGAGUAAUGUCGGGAACUCUAAGGAGACUGCCGGUGACAAACCGGAGGAAGGUGGGGACGACGUCAAGUCAUCAUGGCCCUUACGGGUAGGGCUACACACGUGCUACAAUGGCCGGUACAAAGGGCUGCGAGCUCGCGAGAGUCAGCGAAUCCCUUAAAGCCGGUCUCAGUCCGGAUCGGAGUCUGCAACUCGACUCCGUGAAGUCGGAAUCGCUAGUAAUCGUGAAUCAGAAUGUCACGGUGAAUACGUUCCCGGGCCUUGCACACACCGCCCGUC
rnacentral:rRNA from 1 species